CGGAAGACCAAGGGUUCCUGUCCAACGUUAAUCGGGGCAGGGUGAGUCGACCCCUAAGGCGAGGCCGAAAGGCGUAGUCGAUGGGAAACAGGUUAAUAUUCCUGUACUUGGUGUUACUGCGAAGGGGGGACGGAGAAGGCUAUGUUGGCCGGGCGACGGUUGUCCCGGUUUAAGCGUGUAGGCUGGUUUUCCAGGCAAAUCCGGAAAAUCAAGGCUGAGGCGUGAUGACGAGGCACUACGGUGCUGAAGCAACAAAUGCCCUGCUUCCAGGAAAAGCCUCUAAGCAUCAGGUAACAUCAAAUCGUACCCCAAACCGACACAGGUGGUCAGGUAGAGAAUACCAAGGCGCUUGAGAGAACUCGGGUGAAGGAACUAGGCAAAAUGGUGCCGUAACUUCGGGAGAA
rnacentral:rRNA from 1 species